UGGGGAAUUUUGCACAAUGGGGGAAACCCUGAUGCAGCGACGCCGCGUGAUUUAGAAGGCCUUCGGGUUGUAAAAAUCUUUUCUAUGGGAAGAAAAUGACAGUACCAUAGGAAUAAGGACCGGCUAAUUACGUGCCAGCAGCCGCGGUAAUACGUAAGGUCCGAGCGUUGUCCGGAAUCAUUGGGCGUAAAGGGUACGUAGGCGGGUAAGCAAGUUAGAAGUGAAGUCCUAUAGCUCAACUAUAGUAAGCUUUUAAAACUGAUCAUCUUGAGGUAUGGAACGGAAAGUGGAAUUGCUGGUGUAGCGGUGAAAUGCGCAGAUAUUAGGAGGAAUACAGGUUGCGAAGGCGACUUUCUGGCCAUAACCUGACGCUGAGGUACGAAAGCGUGGGUAGAAAACAGG
rnacentral:rRNA from 1 species